GACAGAGGGUGCAAACGUUGUUCGGAAUUACUGGGCGUAAAGCGCGUGUAGGCGGCCCUGCAAGUCGGGUGUGAAAUCCCACGGCUCAACCGUGGAAGUGCACUCGAAACUGCAGGGCUAGAGUCUUGGAGAGGAAGGUGGAAUGCUUGGUGUAGAGGUGAAAUUCGUAGAUAUCAAGCGGAACACCGGUGGCGAAGGCGGCCUUCUGGACAGUGACUGACGCUGAGACGCGAAAGCGUGGGGAGCAAACAGG
rnacentral:rRNA from 1 species